rnacentral:rRNA from 1 species
GAUUAACGCUAGCGGCAGGCAUAAUACAUGCGAGUUGAACGGCAGCACAGGUAGCAAUACUGGGUGGCGAGUGGCGCACGGGUGCGUAACACGUAUGCAACCUACCCUAUACAGGCGAAUAACCUUUAGAAAUGAGGGCUAAUACGCCGUAGUAUUACAGAUGGGCAUCUAUUUGUAAUUAAAGAUUUAUCGGUAUAGGAUGGGCAUGCGUCCCAUUAGUUAGUUGGUAAGGUAACGGCUUACCAAGACGAUGAUGGGUAGGGGAUCUGAGAGGACUUACCCCCACACUGGUACUGAGACACGGACCAGACUCCUACGGGAGGCAGCAGUAAGGAAUAUUGGGCAAUGGCCGCGAGGCUGACCCAGCCAUGCCGCGUGCAGGAAGACGGCCUUAUGGGUUGUAAACUGCUUUUAUACGGGAAGAAUAGAGUGUACGCGUACAUUUAUGCAAGUAUCGUAUGAAUAAGCAUCGGCUAACUCCGUG